GCUAACUGCACGCCAUAUAAUAGAACUGAAUCAUAUGCUUUGAACUAUAAUACAUAUAGGACUCAGAUAGAGAAAGUCUGGGAACCCGAUUUGUAAAUGUGAGGGUAAAGAUUGAGAAAUAUCAGGUUAAUAAUCCUGUAGAAAUUUAAUUUGGUUUUAGGUUCAUUAAGUCGCCCAAGCUCGGGAAAAAUUAAAAGAAAA
rnacentral:lncRNA from 1 species